rnacentral:rRNA from 1 species
GGGUAAGAUCCCAGGAAGACUACCUGGUUGAUAGGUCAAAGGUGGAAGUACAGUAAUGUAUGUAGCUUAUUGAUACUAAUAGAUCGAGGACUUGACCAA